AAUUUUAAUUCUUUUAGCUUAAACUAAAGCACUUUACUGAAGAUAAAGAGAACU
rnacentral:tRNA from 1 species